rnacentral:rRNA from 1 species
AUUGAACGCUGGCGGCAGGCCUAACACAUGCAAGUCGAGCGCGCGGCGCACGGGUGAGUAAUGUCUGUGAAACUGCCUGAUGGAGAGGGAUAACUACUGGAAACGGUAUCUCAUACCGCAUACCAUCAGAUGUGCCCCGAUGGGAUUAGCUAGUAGGUGGGGUAACGGCUCACCUAGGCGACGAUCCCUAGCGGGUCUGUGAGGAUGACCCGCCACACUGGAACUGAGACACGGUCCAGACUCCUAGGGGAGGCAGCAGUGGGGAAUAUUGCACAAUGGGCGCAAGCCUGAUGCAGCCAUGCCGCGUGUGUGAAGAAGGCCUUCGGGUUGUAAAGCACUUUCAGCGGGGAGGCGUUACCCGCAGAAGAAGCACCGGCUAACUCCGUGCCAGCAGCCGCGGUAAUAC